rnacentral:lncRNA from 1 species
AGAUUUAAGAGAGAUCAGCGAGUCCUAAAAGCCUUCCAACUGAUGAGAGGGGAAUAAUAAUGCAUUCAUAUAAAAUAAACAAUCCAAUUUGUUGCUGGCAGGAUAAAAUCGAAGCAACAAGGUCUUCUCCAACUCAGUAAAAACCAUUUGAUAAGUAAUUUAGAUGCCAAGAAAUUUUAAUAACUGAACUGAAUCCCUUUGACUGCAGUACAUACUCGAUAUGGGCCUUUGCAUCUUGUCAGAUUUUGGCUGCUACUUCCAUUUUCUUCCUGGCACUUUUCUCUCCGACCUGUACUUUGACAAAAUCUGACUUCUUCGUGUUGUAUUCUAAUAACAUUGGGAGAUACAUUAAUCAAAUUAAUGUCCACUAUAUUUAUUUUCUUGGCAAAUUAAACUAACCUUCCUCAUUUGGAAACCGCUUCUUCCCCUGGGAAUCAUAAGUGUCAUUCUGAAUUUAAAAUGCAAAAACAGAGAAACUUAAAAUGUGAACUUAAAACACUGCAUUAACUAUCUAAGCAUUUGGGAACUUAAAAUGCAAAAACAGAGAAACAACAAGAUAGUAGAAAAACAGUGCAAGAGUAAUCUCCACAUAGCAUCAAUGCAUUUUUACGAAACACAAAUGCAUCUGGUGAAGACUGUAAUAUGCUCACCAGACCGACAUAUGUAUCUGAAUAUGCUCACAAUUUAAUCUGUAAGAGAAUCGACAUAUGACAUGCGACUUGAUCUUAUUGUUACAAAUUAGUAAGCAUCUGCCAGUGUAGAGUAGCCAUCUACUUGCAAUUUCCAAGACAUUUCUCUACAAAUAUUCAUCUGUCAGUGUAGCUGCAUCACCCCCAAAACAUUCAGGUCUAGGCAUAACCAAAAAAAAUCUUCUGUGCCGUGCAGUUUAAUAAUACUAAAAGCAAACCAGUAAGAGGAGGGAAGGAAGGUCGCAACCUGCACAGAGCAUGUCCUUGAGGCCAAAUUACGAAUGGUCCUCCUUCCCCAGCAAUCAUUUUCAGAACCAUAAACAACAGUCAAAAUCGGUUCACCAUCAGGAAUAAAGAUGAGUCGUUGUCGUGAUCGCCUUGAUGGCAAUUGAAAUAAGACUGCUCCCUUAAAGCCGAUACAGAUGGAUUGGCUCACUCAUUUCACCUGAAUAACAAACACCACAUAUUUAGAUGCAAAAAAAAAAGAUAUAAAACUCGGGUUCAUAGUUCUUCUGCUAGAAGUAAAAGUCAGUUCACCAUUAGGAUUAGACAUGAGUGGACGUUAUGAUGGCCUUGAUGGCAAAUGAAACAUACACAGCAAAUCAUCCUCCAUUGAAGCCAAUACAAAAACGACAGUCUCACGCAUUUUACCUGAACAAUGAACACAACAAAUUUAUGCACGAAGAAAUAGUUUUUUGCUACAAAUAGAUGAAUCAAAGUAAAUAAGAAUAUUUUGUCCUGUAAGGAAAAAAAACUCUAGACAAACACAACCGAAAUGUACGCACGGAAGCAUAAGAUUUCCUCGGCACAACGCACCCAAAAAAAGUUGGUGGAUGAGAAGCUACUUCCUAUAUGAACACAAAAGAAACCAAUCAUCAUGCAUUCUGAAUCUAAUUCCAAUGCAUACAAAAUGCACACUUGAUCAUUAAUCAAGUUCUUUAGGUAAAUCAGUUACUUUGAAUGAGCGUACACAUUUGAGUUAGCUUAGCUGCUCAAGGCCUGAACCAAACAGUGAUUACCACUAUUAAUCCAUACAUACUCCCUCCGUAAACUAAUAUAAGAGCGUUUAGAAUACUAAAAUAGUGAUCUAAACGCUCUUAUAUUAGUUUACAGAGGGAGUACAACAAUAAGCAUAGCUCGAGUGCUUAGCUGCGUACCACCCAUGUACAUGGUUAGAAAACUGCAAUGCUUACAAUUUUAAGGACUCCUCACCCAUAUAUAAGGAAAUGAACCUUCAGAAUGCGAUAUUACUUGUUUCUUUUCUCAGCAAAACAACUCAUGGCUUUUCUCUUGUCCUUAAAAAAUUCCCUUCCCCAGCUUCUUUUGCUGGCUUUAUAAUAGAAUAAACCACCAGAGAAUCUUAGGGAACUGUGUGUACAAUAUAACAAAUUAUAACAAAGACGGCAUUGCCUAGCAUGAUUCAGAAUCCAAACAAAAUAAUUUUGAAAUUCACCAUCCAAUGUAAAAUUUCUUAUGGUUACCACAAUGAAAACGUGUGCUUGGAGCUUGAAUUGUAUGUAUGUUGGUAUGGUACAUAACAAAUUGGUAUGGUAUGUUCAUAACAUAACACAAGAACUUGAAUUCUUAUCAAUACUGGAACGCAGCCAUGUUUACAAAUGUCGAAAUCUGAUAGGAGUAACAGGAGUACAAUAAAUGAGCGAGGAGCACACUUCUAUUAAUGUCCCAAAAAAGUGUAUAUUCUCCACAAAGCUGUGAUUUAAAAAUCUACAGCGACUGGUCCAAUUUUUUGGGUUCAAAAGUAUCAAAGAAAACAGAAGAGCGUAAGCUCUGCUACUAAGAAAGAAGUCAUGAUAUCUUCUAGCCUCUUGGGACAGUUACAGUCAUCGACUUGUAGCUUGGAAAGUUGGAACCUACAUGUUAGUCGAACCUAGAUCAAUGCAAACUCAUCAAGCACAGACCUUAUAUUCUAGUACCAGAACUGUAGAGUCUGUUAUCAACAUGUUAAACACAAGUCGCAUAUUCGGUUAAUGUUGAUAGCUAACAGAGAGGCGGCAACAGGCACAUUUAGAUACUAUGCAAAAAAAAAAAAAACAGAGCAAUCAAAGAUAGAAAAAGAAGACCUGUUUAAAAUUGCAUACAGAGCUGAAAAAAACCAAGUGAAUGGGGAUUGCAGCAAAGACCAAACUACAAAGGUUAUGGCCAAAGGAGGACACUUGCAGUGGAGAAGCAGCAGCUAUUGUUGACAGUGUCAUACAACACUUCCUAUGGUCUGAGAAUCUUCACCCGGCUUAAGAAAGCUUAACAAUAUUAAAAAGUAGAAGAGCUAAGCUGUUUUAAGCCUCAGAAAGCCGCAAAAAUAUCGUCAUUUGAAAUCUGAUGGUAAUUCCAACAUAAAGCUAAUCAUCAUAGGGUCCUAUAGUGUUCUAGAGAGAAAAAAGGGCCCUAAACAUCAUACCUUUGGGCCAAAAAAAUCAAAGAAACAGGGUGUAUCAGAGUAUAAAUGCCUUCUCAUUCACAGGAAAAUAAGCACUGUGUCAGAAGGUGUCCUAAGAUUGUUUCAAGGUUUCAUCCUCUGAUACUGACCAGAUCAACAAAAAACUGGACCAAAUGAAGAAACAUUAACUGAUUAAAAUCCUAUUCCAAAAAUUCCUAGCUAAUUAUCAGAUCAUGAAACAGAUUGUAACAUCCUGGGUGCCAACAAUCACCGAGGAAAAAAUACCUGAACUGACCAUACAUAGUCUGUGAAGCAAGAGUGAGCACGUGAUUGAUGGAGCUCCUUGGCAGCGGUGGUGGCUGCUGCUCCUGUACACACUGACAGCUCGAACACCCAGGCGUAGCCGAGAGAGCGCCGAUGCU